rnacentral:tRNA from 1 species
CGGGGCGUAGCGCAGCCUGGUAGCGCACCUGCCUUGGGCGCAGGGGGUCGUGAGUUCGAAUCCCACCGCCCCGACCA